rnacentral:tRNA from 1 species
UGGCUCAGAGAUUAAGAGCACUGGACUGCUCUUCCAGAAGUCCUGAGUUCAAUUCCCAG